GCAUCUGUAGCUCAAUGGAUAGAGCAGUGCCCUCCGGAGGCAUGUGAGCAGGUUCGACUCCUGUCAGAUGCA
rnacentral:tRNA from 1 species